ensembl:lncRNA
GUGCAGCCACCGUUGUUCUCAUAGAUAUGAAUGAGUAGAUAGGACACGCCCCUUUGAGCUGCGUGCUACAGCGAGGCUAAGCUAGUGGGGGCAAAAUUUCAGUGCAUUCCGUUGAUGUAGACGGCGUGAAAACGGAAACAGCAAGUAUGCCGGCUCACUGUGCUGCAUACAAUUACACACUAUGUCGUACGAUUGAGACAAGGAAACUUGGAAUGACUUUUCAUAGGUUUCCCAGAGACUAUGGGUUGAGGAGGAAGUGGAAGUUUGUCGGCUUAGACCUGUGUCAUUCCAUCAGUGUUAAACUUCCCGGCUCAUCUUGGAAGAGUACGUGCCAGAAAGACCACGACCAAGCAGCCUUGAGAUCUUAGGCAGCGUCUCCCUGAGGUCCCUCUCUAUCUCCCCACACAUGCACCAACCACUGGAACACAUCUCCAAAGUUCUGCCGGGCCAGCUCAGCUUCCCCUCAGAAGAAGUGCUGCCACCUGCCAGAUGAAGGAGCCUUUUGAGAGGCAGCUGGCAUCAUGAUUGGACUGUACUUUGGUCUGUUCCAGUCCAGCUUCAGCACCAGAGACGGCAGGCGGGACGAGUCAACGGAGGCCGGGUGGACGAAGGCAUGCAGCUGAGUACAAUCCAGAAAACAACAGAGGAGGAGUGCAGCGGCUCAGGGCCAGAACAAACAGAGUAGCAUCGUAUGUCUCUUAGAAAACAUCAUAGUAUAGCCUUUGGUAUGAAAAAACACCAUCAUAUACAUCGUAUAUUGUACAAAUAACAAGUCAAAGGAAAGAGACAUACAUUGUAGAAUUGUAGUAAUUGUGGACUGACUGAUUUACUGAUUAUCAGUAUUUUAUUUUUUACUGAUUUACGGUAAUAAAUAAAUUUAAAAAUGGUGCUACUUUGGCUCCGAACCUUAAUCUACCUGUGG